UGAGGAAUAUUGGUCAAUGGGCGAGAGCCUGAACCAGCCAAGUAGCGUGCAGGAUGACGGCCCUAUGGGUUGUAAACUGCUUUUAUGUGGGGAUAAAGUGCGUGACGUGUCAUGCAUUGCAGGUACCACAUGAAUAAGGACCGGCUAAUUCCGUGCCAGCAGCCGCGGUAAUACGGAAGGUACGGGCGUUAUCCGGAUUUAUUGGGUUUAAAGGGAGCGUGGGCGGUCUAUUAAGCGUGUUGUGAAAUUUACCGGCUCAACCGGUGGCUUGCAGCGCGAACUGGUCGACUUGAGUAUGCAGGAAGUAGGCGGAAUUCAUGGUGUAGCGGUGAAAUGCUUAGAUAUCAUGACGAACUCCGAUUGCGCAGGCAGCUUACUGUAGCAUAACUGACGCUGAGACUCGAAAGUGCGGGUAUCAAACAGG
rnacentral:rRNA from 1 species